AACGAACGCUGGCGGCGUGCCUAACACAUGCAAGUCGAACGAGAAAGGGGCUUCGGCUCCGAGUAAAGUGGCGCACGGGUGAGUAACACGUAGGUAACCUGCCUCUAAGAUUGGGAUAACACCGGGAAACCGGUGCUAAUACCGGAUGUCGUCAUUAGGCCGCAUGACCUGAUGAUGAAAGGAUUCAUCGGCUUCGGGAGGGGCUCGCGGGCUAUCAGCUUGUUGGGUGGGGUAACCGGCCACCAAGGCGACGACGGCUAGCUGGUCUGAGAGGACGACCAGCCACACUGGGACUGAGACACGGCCCAGACUCCUACGGGAGGCAGCAGUGGGAAUCUUGCGCAAUGGGCGAAAGCCGUGACGCAGCAACGCCGCGUGGGGAUGAAUGCC
rnacentral:rRNA from 1 species